rnacentral:lncRNA from 1 species
GAUUUGUUUAAAAUCGGGGUUUAAGAGGAAAAAAUUGGAAUUUAUCAGAUUUUUUAGGAUUGAAUUUAUCGGAUUUAUGGGAUUUUUUGGGGGGGGAAGAAAAAGUCAAUUUUUUUGGGGUGUAAAACGGCGUUUUCCGGGAAUUUUUGAGGGGAAAAACGGGAAUUUGGGGAAAAACGGGAAAUUAUGAUUUUUAAAAAGAGUCAGAGUCGAAAUGAAAAGAGGAAAAUUCACGAUUUUUAAAUUAAAUUUAAAAAAAACCCGUACAAAUAAAAAUUGUUUCCCGCCCCUCCCCCACCCUGGGGUUAAUUAAUUCAGGUUAAUUAAAUCAGGUUAAUUAAAUUAGGUUAAUUAAAUCCUCCCCCCGUUAAUGAGGGGUGGGGGGAGGAGCUGGGGGUCCUGGGAAAGGAGAUGGCCACGGUCACUCAGUGGUCACUCAGUGGUCUCUCAGGGGUCACUCAGGGGUCACUCAGUGCCCGGUGGUCACUCAGGGGUCACUCAGGGAUCAGAGUCCGGUGGUCACUUAGGGGUCACUCAGUGUCCGGUGGUCACUCAGUGUCCGGUGGUCACUCAGGGGUCACUCAGUGUCCGGUGCAAGUGGUCAGUGAUGAUGCCCAUGGUCACUCAGUGGUCACUCAGUGGUCAGUGGUCACUCAGUGGUCACUCAGUGGUCACUCAUUGGUCACUCAGCGGUCACUCAGUGGUCACUCAGGGGUCAGGGCCCGGUGGUCACUCAGUGGUCAGUGGUCACUCAGCAGUCACUCAGUGGUCACUCAGCGGUCACUCAGGGGUCAGAGCCCGGUGGUCACUCAGUGGUCAGUGGUCACUCAGGAGUCACUCAGGGGUCACUCAGGGGUCAGAGCCCGGUGGUCACUCAGGGGUCACUCAGAGCCCUGUGGUCACUCAGUGUCCGGUGGUCACUCAGGGAUCACUCAGGGGUCACUCAGGGAUCACUCAGGGGUCACUCAGCGGUCACUCAGGGGUCAGAGCCCGGUGGUCACUCAGUGUCUGGUGGUCACUCAGGGAUCACUCAGGGGUCACUCAGCGGUCACUCAGCGGUCACUCAGGGGUCAGAGCCCGGUGGUCACUCAGUGUCCGGUGCAGGUGGCCGAAGUCCGGCCGCUCGGCCGCCUCUCGGGCCCAGCAGUUCAACAUCAGCCGGUGCAGGGCGGGGGGGCAGCCGGGGGGGCAGGGCAGGUACUGCUGGGAACUGGGGUUACUGGGAUGGACUGGGA